AGAGUUUGAUCCUGGCUCAGGAUGAACGCUGGCGGCGUGCUUAACACAUGCAAGUCGAACGGGAAACCUUUUAUUGAAGCUUCGGCAGAUUUAGAUUGUUUCUAGUGGCGGACGGGUGAGUAACGCGUGGGUAACCUGCCUUAUACAGGGGGAUAACAGUCAGAAAUGACUGCUAAUACCGCAUAAGCGCACAGAGCUGCAUGGCUCGGUGUGAAAAACUCCGGUGGUAUAAGAUGGACCCGCGUUGGAUUAGCUAGUUGGUGGGGUAACGGCCUACCAAGCCGACGAUCAGUAGCCGACCUGAGAGGGUGACCGGCCACAUUGGGACUGAGACACGGCCCAAACUCCUACGGGAGGCAGCAGUGGGGAAUAUUGCACAAUGGGGGAAACCCUGAUGCAGCGACGCCGCGUGGAGGAAGAAGGUCUUCGGAUUGUAAACUCCUGUUGUUGAGGAAGAUAAUGACGGUACUCAACAAGGAAGUGACGGCUAACUACGUGCCAGCAGCCGCGGUAAUACGUAGGUGGCGAGCGUUAUCCGGAAUGAUUGGGCGUAAAGGGUGCGUAGGUGGCAGAACAAGUCUGGAGUAAAAGGUAUGGGCUCAACCCGUACUGGCUCUGGAAACUGUUCAGCUAGAGAACAGAAGAGGACGGCGGAACUCCAUGUGUAGCGGUAAAAUGCGUAGAUAUAUGGAAGAACACCGGUGGCGAAGGCGGCCGUCUGGUCUGUUGCUGACACUGAAGCACGAAAGCGUGGGGAGCAAAUAGGAUUAGAUACCCUAGUAGUCCACGCCGUAAACGAUGAGAACUAGGUGUUGGGGGAAUAACUCAGUGCCGCAGUUAACGCAAUAAGUAAUCCACCUGGGGAGUACGUUCGCAAGAAUGAAACUCAAAGGAAUUGACGGGGGCCCGCACAAGCGGUGGAUUAUGUGGUUUAAUUCGAAGCAACGCGAAGAACCUUACCAAGUCUUGACAUCCCUCUGACCGGAACUUAAUCGUUCCUUUCCUUCGGGACAGAGGAGACAGGUGGUGCAUGGUUGUCGUCAGCUCGUGUCGUGAGAUGUUGGGUUAAGUCCCGCAACGAGCGCAACCCCUAUCCCCAGUAGCCAGCGGUUCGGCCGGGCACUCUGAGGAGACUGCCAGGGAUAACCUGGAGGAAGGCGGGGAUGACGUCAAAUCAUCAUGCCCCUUAUGAUUUGGGCUACACACGUGCUACAAUGGCGUAAACAAAGGGAAGCGAACCUGCGAGGGUGGGCAAAUCCCAAAAAUAACGUCCCAGUUCGGACUGUAGUCUGCAACCCGACUACACGAAGCUGGAAUCGCUAGUAAUCGCGGAUCAGAAUGCCGCGGUGAAUACGUUCCCGGGUCUUGCACACACCGCCCGUCA
rnacentral:rRNA from 1 species